CCACACGCCGGGGUGGCCGACUGGGUCAGCG
rnacentral:piRNA from 1 species